UACGUAGGGUGCGAGCGUUGCCCGGAUUUAUUGGGCGUAAAGGGCGCGUAGGCGGCUCUGCACGUCCGUUGUGAAAUCGCCCGGCUCAACUGGGCGGGGUCAGCGGGAUACGGCGGAGCUUGAGCAAGCUAGGGGGCAAUGGAAUUCCCGGUGUAGUGGUGGAAUGCGUAGAGAUCCGGAGGAACACCAAAGGCGAAGGCAGUGUCCUGGGGAGUACCUGACGCUCAGGUGCGAAAGCCAGGGGAGCG
rnacentral:rRNA from 1 species